AAAAUAAGUUAUGCUUUUUUUCAAUUGAUUUCCGGUUUAUUUCAUUGAAAAUAUAAAUAUUGUCGCGCAGAUAACGUAUAUAAUUGCGCACAUUGUGAUAUUAAUAUUUCUUUCGCAAGAAAAUUCGAAAUCAAUUUUAUUAUAUACAAGUUUGAUCUGAGAUUAACACAGACAUGAAAGAAGAAUUUAAUAUUGCAAAAUAUAGAAAAACGAUUUUAUUAUUUUUUUUUGUAACGGCGGAUACUUUAUGAGGGAGAUUGUCAUUCGUCUCAUAAAGCACCGACAGCUUCCUGGCUUUUACAAAUCUGUAAAUAUACUCGCGAUGCAAGGUGAAUGUAUCUUAAAUUUCGUAUCUUAAAUACCGUUCAUUUAGCCUUACCAUCUGCCUCGUCAUUUUUAGAAAUGCAGGAAUCUAUGGUGCUGCAUUUCGCGGCGUAAAGCAUUCCUCGAGGUACGCCAGGCGCGGAACGGUGAAUUUGCAUAAUGCGGAUAAUUUAUUAACGUUCUACGCACUCGUGAGUGAAAUUGCGACGUGCACGCUUUUCCUUUUGGGCAUGUCGAUAGUUUUAUAGAUUUGCAUAUUGCUGUAAUCUUGGCUGCAUAUAGAGAAGAGUUAAAUGAUAUGUGGACGGUAUAUAAUUUGUUUUAACUGUAAUAGUCUAGUCUUUUUUAAUGCGAAAUUUCAAUGAUAAUAUUCUUCUAACUUUAAUGUCCUGAGAUUAGAAUAACCGAUUUAUUAUUUCUUGAAAAAGUUGAAAUUAAUUAUCCUUAUCCAUAUAUUUUCUUCCUUUCGUAUGAUUUUUACAUUUUCUACUGUAUAAUGAGAUUCUUAAGAUUCUUAUUAAGGUCCAAGUCGCGAACCUGCUUUGGCUCUUAUAUUUUCCCGUGGUUUCCUUUGAAGCUUUUGAAUGACGAGGCAACGUUUUUCGAGCCGGACAUCGCCUCUUGGAACUGCGCAUGUCCAGUGUCGACGUGCAUAUGUAUUAUGCAAACGACGAAAUGAAGGGUUAAAGUUCGCGGUCGCGCGAUCCGGAAACCGCGGAGGAAAACGCGAGUCAUCAUUUCUCGCGCGUUUAACGCUUACGUGCCGGUCGGUCGGUAAAUGAUGCACUGAAGAUUACGCGUUAGAAUAACGACGGCAUAUAAAAGAGGAUAAUGCAUGCAACUCAGUACUUAGAGGUUCUACCAACGGCCGUCCAUGCGUCAAUCUUGCACGUGGCUUUAAAGGUACGCUCACAGCGAUCAUGCGGAGAUUUCACCGUUUUCCAGUGAAAAACGGUUCUUCCGCGUUUAAUUCGGAGUAAUUUCAGAAAAACAAAGUUAUCUAACGUCCAAGUCGAAAUAAUGGAUGUACAUUCAUCCGAAGCCGCUUUCUCCGCGAGUCGGAUAUCUUCAACAGACCUGUCUGGAUUCGUGUUUACGAGAUCAUUAUGUUUUCACACACAAUAUGAGCGAAAUCAGUUACCAUAUAUCUCGCGGGAUACGCUGAAGACAAGUAUACGUGAAAGAUAUGUACCGUUGAAUACGUAAUUGGUCGUAAAACAUUCCGAAAAGUACAUUCUUGAAAAAUAAACUUAAUUUUUUAGUGAAAACUUCGAAGAAACUGGCUUACGGAAGUAAGCUGGAGAUUAUAAAUAUUUCGUGAAGGAAUAUUAGUUAGCGUUACGACUGUGCGCGAUGUUUGCUCUUGAUAGCUCCAGUUAACGAUAAUAAGUAUAUCUGAGAAAUUUCCGAGGACUUUGUUGCCGCGCCACGGUGAAAUCGUUUGUGUGCCGGUUUCGCAACAGCCGCGCGCGGUUGAGUCAGGCGUAGCUUUUAAAAUUUUCUAUCGCGCGCGGAACAGCUCGGACACCGACGAACUCUCAACGUGAGGAUGUUGUUGAAUUGUCAGGGCAACAAGAUACUCACCCGACCCCCCCGGCGAAUACGAUAAUAGAUACCGUCUCUGCUUUUAUGUAAUAAUCGCCGCACGUUUUCGCGUUUCGAGGAUACGAUGUUAUUCCGGUGAGUGAGUGUGGCUUUCAACGGCACUCAUAGUAGCAAUUUAAAUUGGGAUUGUCCCCUCUAACUAUACUUUCAUUACUUUUCUAUUUUCUUCUUUUCUUUGGAGAAAAGCUAGCGCAUGUCGGUCUCUCACUUUAAGUAUAGAAAGCGUUAGGAAAAAAAAAGAAGUUACUGAAUAGAGCGCACUUGAUAUGCUAACGAUGUCGGAGAAGAGACUUCACAUUAGCGAGCAUUUUUGCAGCAUGAUUAAAACUCAUCGGACGAAGGAUAACACAAACGCAGGCGUGAGUGUGUGUGCGAGGACCGGUCUCUAAAGGAGGGCAGUCAGGCUUUGGAGGAUCGAAUUUUGAGUCGCCAAUUCUCACUUGUCCCUGAGCAAUGAAUGUUCUGCUCUUUACAAUUGAAUUGACUGUUUGAUUGCAAACUUCACAAACGGUUCAUGCAAAUAGCAUCGUGACCAACAUUUUUAUCGCG